AGCCAAAUCAUGUUGAAACACCAGUUCUUGUAUGAUCACUGAAGUUAAGCAACAUUAAGCCUGGUCAGUACCUAGAUAGAUGAUUGCUUAGGAAUACCAGGUGCUGCU